UUUCUUGCUCCAGGGAAGAUUUGAAACAGAUUUUAUCAACUUUGUCUAAUAGAUUAUUUUCUCAAUAUAUUGAUACUUUGUGUAGAUUAUUCACAGACUUAGGUCAUUAUUUGUUUAGAUUAACCUCAAGGUAAUUGAGGACUUUUGUCACAUGAUGAUCGUUAGGGUCAUUCUCUCUCAACAUUUCCACACAGAACUGACUUUACUAAACCCAAAUAUAAAAUCUUCUAUUUAAUACCUUUUCACUUGAGUGUUAAAUUACAACACUUUAAUCAAAUUUGCUCCACGUGUCUGAUUCGUUUAUUUUAUUUAUAUUCAGAGGUCUGGGUGUCCUUUUUCCUUAAUCUGGAGAAAACUAACUGGAAUAACAGUUUUUUGUUGUUGUUUUUUUAAUGUCAUUUUUCCUGAAAGGAUUUGAAAUUCACCCUCCCUUUUAAGUUUCCGCGGCUGGUCUCCUGGAGUAGAAGUCACAGGAACCGAAGCAAAGGGACAGCAAGUGUGCUUUGCAGUUGUCCCUGUAGGGGCGACCCUCAUGGGACCCCGCUGUGAUGGCAUAAUUACGUGACUGUCACCUAGCUUAGGGAGUGGGUUUGCCCACAAACUGAGAACGUAACAACUUUCCGGGAGUCUCCAGAGAGAAAACACGUAUAAUACUCUGUGCUACUGAUGAUUCCAUCUGAUUAAGUGGUAGUGAAGCUUUGACCCAUCAUCUGAUAGAGCACUACAAGGGGCUUCUGAAGAAGUUGAACAGCCACCGUUUUAGUCAUGAUGAAGACGGUACAAACUCUGAUUCCCUCAGCAACAAAUAUCCAUGCAUCUUGCUGGCUUUGCUGAUCCAAGUAGAAGAAUUUGCUAAUCAAGUGGGCAUUCUACACCUUAGCCAAGUGCUCAUCUGCACAGUUCAGACAAUAAAUAGAUUUGGACAAUUUAUGCUAAUAAAUAAAUUAUAACCU